rnacentral:rRNA from 1 species
CUUUGGGUGUGACUGCGUACCUUUUGUAUAAUGGGUCAGCGACUUAUAUUCUGUAGCAAGGUUAACCGAAUAGGGGAGCCGGAGGGAAACCGAGUCUUAACCGGGCGUUAAGUUGCAGGGUAUAGACCCGAAACCCGGUGAUCUAGCCAUGGGCAGGUUGAAGGUUGGGUAACACUAACUGGAGGACCGAACCGACUAAUGUUGAAAAAUUAGCGGAUGACCUGUGGCUGGGGGUGAAAGGCCAAUCAAACCGGGAGAUAGCUGGUUCUCCCCGAAAGCUAUUUAGGUAGCGCCUCGUGAAUUCAUCUCCGGGGGUAGAGCACUGUUUCGGCUAGGGGGCCAUCCCGGCUUACCAACCCGAUGCAAACUGCGAAUACCGGAGAAUGUUAUCACGGGAGACACACGGCGGGUGCUAACGUCCGUCGUGAAGAGGGAAACAACCCAGACCGCCAGCUAAGGUCCCAAAGUCAUGGUUAAGUGGGAAACGAUGUGGGAAGGCCCAGACAGCCAGGAUGUUGGCUUAGAAGCAGCCAUCAUUUAAAGAAAGCGUAAUAGCUCACUGGUCGAGUCGGCCUGCGCGGAAGAUGUAACGGGGCUAAACCAUGCACCGAAGCUGCGGCAGCGACACUGUGUGUUGUUGGGUAGGGGAGCGUUCUGUA